AUUUAUUUAGUAUAACACUGAAAUAUAUAUUUAAACAAAACUUUUUAUACUGACCAUUGUUCUCUUCAGACUCAAAUUCAGUUGCUGACAGCAACUCAUCCAUAUUCGUUGCAGUCUUGCAGUCUGUGAUGAUGUUUGGCUUGAAGAAAGUUGACCACUUGGACAGGAACUUCUGAGACACUUCGUCACCAAACAUCAUUGAGAAAUCCUGGUCGAUCUACAAACAAGGAAAACAAUAUUUUAAUAUACAGGUUCAAGCAUACAUGACAAAAUGAAUGAAAGGUCAAAUACUGAAAUGGAAGAUUGAAAAGAAGAUUAAAGAGAUUAUAGUAUAGUGCAGACAGAUAUUAUAUUGUCCUGCACUGGACUAUAUUACUGUUCUACACUGGACAACUACAACCAAAGCAAAAGAGUUUUCUUACCAAUCCAGGUACAUCAAGAAAACGAGGGAACACAUCCAGGACUGAAGAUGAUGCAUCAUCCCCAACCAUCUUCUGUCGAUACUGGAAAGUCGCUCUCAUCUUCUCUUUGACCACAGAUUCAUCGCUGGAAUGUCUUAUUGUAGAUAUCGCCUCCCUGCACUCCUCACCAAAUAGCUGUUGGCAGGUUGACAGAGAUUCUCGCCUGGUUUUUGGACCAUCCUGAAGAACGGUCUUGGAACGACCCCGCAAGCCAGCAAAGGUGUUGCGUUGAACCGUCUUGAUCCUCCAUGAAAUGAAGCCGAUAUAACUUACAUAUCCAAGUUUGGAGAAUGGAUCACGGAGGUAUGGAAAAAGAGUCACAAUUCCCAGUGCAUAAUUGGUCCUUACACUUGACGGUGGAACCCUCCUUUAAAAAUAAGUCAUAGUUUACUUUUAAGCAUGUAUGUUUUGUAAGAAUAAAUACACCUUUACCACUUAUACAGAACAGCAUUAUUUAGCUACAACACAUGACAUGACAUAACCAAGUGACUUGCAAUUCUUACCCAUGUAGCUCUACCAUAUCUGCAACCAGGAUGUUCACCAUUUGUUUACGGGUCGCAUCAGUUAGUGUUUUAGUCUUGUCAUACUCAUUGAAGACUUCUUCACCCUUUGGAUUGGCCCUCAGAACACCCUCAACCAUCUGCCAAGAAAUAUUACAUUGUUAUGGCACGCUUACGAAUAACGGUGGAAUCAGAUGAAUGGGAUAAAGCUGGGGAUAGUGCAGUCUGUGCCACUACCAAGGAUGAAUGGGAUGAAGUUGGGGACAGCGAUGUCAAUACAGAGGAGGAUGCUUGAUCUGCAACCAGCUCAACAUCCAGAUCUACAAAAUGGCAGACAGAACAAAGACAAUUAACAUGUACCUAUCAGUAACAAAACAAUCUCAAUCUUAAAUAAAGCAUUUAAAAAGUACUAAGCAUAUUAUAUUCUUCCUUAAUUACUACCCAGUGAUAGAUCAUAUGUAUUUAAGACAAUGAUCAGUAGUAUAUCAAAUUAUAGCAUAGGUUGAGGUCUCUCAAAAAUAUAUUUCCGACAAAACACUGUGCUUUCUACUUGACGUUGUCUGUGAUACCUCAUCAAACCCCAGCCUUCACAUCCUUACCCAUUACUGGUAAAGGG
ensembl:lncRNA